AUUGAACGCUGGCGGCAGGCCUAACACAUGCAAGUCGAGCGAGUGGCGGACGGGUGAGUAAUGUAUGGGGAACUGCCCGAUAGAGGGGGAUAACUCCUGGAAACGGUGGCUAAUACCGCAUACCAUCGGAUGUACCCAUAUGGGAUUAGCUAGUAGGUGGGGUAACGGCUCACCUAGGCGACGAUCCCUAGCUGGUCUGAGAGGAUGACCAGCAACACUGGAACGGAGACACGGCCCAGACUCCUACGGGAGGCAGCAGUGGGGAAUAUUGCACAAUGGGCGAAAGCCUGAUGCAGCCAUGCCGCGUUUAUGAAGAAGGCCUUAGGGUUGUAAAGUACUUUCAGCGAGGAGGCGUUACUCGCAGAAGAAGCACCGGCUAACUCCGUGCCAGCAGCCGCGGUAAGUC
rnacentral:rRNA from 1 species